rnacentral:rRNA from 1 species
UACGGAGGGUGCAAGCGUUGUCCGGAUUUAUUGGGUUUAAAGGGUGCGUAGGUGGGCGACUAAGUCUGAUUUGAAAGCCGGCGGCUUAACCGUCGGAUGUGGUUGGAAACUGGUUGUCUUGAAUGCGGUAGCGGAAGCCGGAAUGGGUCAUGUAGCGGUGAAAUGCAUAGAUAUGACCCGGAACACCGAUUGCGAAGGCAGGCUUCUGGGCCGUGAUUGACACUGAGGCACGAGAGCAUGGGUAGCGAACAGG